rnacentral:rRNA from 1 species
GCUUAGCCCUUAACAUAGACAGUAAACACACAAUACUGUCCGCCCGAGAACUACAAGUGAAAAACUAGAAACUCCAAGGACUUGGCGGUGCUCCAUAUCGACCUAGAGGAGCCUGUCCUAUAAUCGAUAAUCCACGUUUCACCCUACCACUUCUUGCAACUCAGCCUAUAUACCGCCGUCGUCAGCCUACCUUAUGAAAGAGACAGAGUAAGCAAAACAGUUAACAACUAAAACGUCAGGUCAAGGUGUAGCACAUGAAGUGGAAGAGAUGGGCUACACUUUCUACCCCAGAACACACGAACAGCACAAUGAAAUCAAUGCUCGAAGGCGGAUUUAGUAGUAAGAAAAACAAGAAACUUUUCCUGAAACUCGCUCUGGAG